rnacentral:lncRNA from 1 species
UUGUCGGUGCCAUUCCGCCUGAGAUAGGAAGCUUAUCCAAACUAACUCAUCUCGAUUUGUCACACAAUAUACUCAACAGUGAUCUGCCUCUCUCACUUUCAAAUCUCAUUAACUUACAGCUGCUUGACCUUUCUCAAAACAGAAUUUUCGAUGGCAUUCCGUCAGGAAUUGGUUACCUCCAGCAAUUGAUUGUUCUUGAUUUGAGCGGCAACACCAUCAGUGGCUCUCUGCCCUCAACUAUGAUCCAAUUAACAAGAUUGGAAUUCUUGAAAUUGGACUCCAAUAUGUUGGUAGGUGUUUUUGAGGCAGGAAUACAUAUGCUUCCUUCAAUUAAAACAAUAGGCCUCAGUGGAAUUCAAUCAAAGGAAGGAUACCUUUUGAAUUUGGAGAUGCUGCUAAUGCACAGUUCUUGAAUAUCGAUCUGUCUUAUAACCAUCUUUGUGGUAGAGUUCCCGAAUCUCUUUCGCAUUUGGAUGGAAUCGAUCUGUCCUACAAUCGUUUAGAAGGUCGAAUUCCACUAGACAUCUGGACUAAAUUUUCAAGGGAAUCGUUCUACGGAAAUUCAGAGUUACUUCUGCCAAAUGGAUCCAGGAUUGAGAUGGAGGAAACGAAACAUCCUCGAAUCCGGAUAAGUUAUGCUGUCAUUGGUGUGGUGAUACUAUUUGGAUGUGUGUUUUUGUUUUCAUCAGGUUUGAUUCUAACCUUUUACUUAAGAAGGAAAGCAGCCACACCUCAUAAUGACCAGAGACAUGGAGACAUAUUCAAGAUAUGGAACUUCGAUGGAAACAUCGCCCAUCAACACAUCAUCCAAGCAACAGCAGACUUCGAUUUCAGGUACUGCAUUGGAACUGGAGCUUACGGGAGCGUCUACAGAGCUCAACUGCCAACUGGAAAAGUCGUUGCUGUCAAAAAGCUUCACAGAUUCGAAGGAGAGAAUCCUAGUUACGACAUGUGCUUCAGGAAUGAAGCAAGGGUUCUCUCUGAGAUACGCCAUCGCCAUAUUGUCAAGCUUUUCGGUUAUUGCCUGCACAAGCGUAAUUGCAAAAACAUUUCUUUAACUUAAAAAGAGUAAUUUAUUGGUAAUAGCAAUACAUGUGUACACAACGACAUUAACACACAACACAUUCGACAAGCAAGACAUCGUUUUCUCAUUACCUUAGUCACAACAAUGAGGAUCACCCCCAUCUACGGCUCGACGACGAUCUUUCCGGUAGCAUGGCCGUCGAUGCUCUUCGCCCAGGCGGCUGCGGCUUCGCUCAACGGGUACUUGCAGUCGAUCACCGUCUUCAGCUUCCCCUGCUUCAUCAGCUCAGCGAGGAACUGCACAUUCUCCGCCUUGACAGAGUUGACGAACGGCACCAGUUGCUUCUUGGAGAACGUGAGCUUCUUCACGGCGAAAGUCCACAUGUGGCUCACCCCCGGCGUGAGCUCGAUCACCUUCCCGCUGGGGCUCAGGUUCGGCUCGAACACCGACCACGGGAAGGACGACGCGCACUGGAUCACCGCGUCGUACUUCUUGCCCGACGGGCUCUUGAGGGCCGCGCCCUCCGGGGUCUUGUAGUCGAGCACCUCGUCUGCCCCGAGGCUCCUCACGAGGUCGAUGUUGCGGGCCCCGCAAGUGGCGGUGACGUGCGCGUUCCCCAGCUUCGCGAGCUGGACGGCGAAGUGGCCGACACCGCCAGAGGCGGCGGUGACGAGGAUGUUCUUCUGGGGGCCGCUGCCGUCGAACUUGAGCCCAGCCGACGUGAGGGCCCCGUGAGCCGUGCAGCCGGCUAUGGGGAAGCUUGCUCCAUCAGCAGCUGAUACUUCAGGAGGCCUUGGAAACGUUACAUCUAUCUUAGCCACUGCAUAUUCUGCCAAACCACCUCCUGUCUGUUUCCAUCAAGAUUCAUGACCACAAUCAAAGAAAAUCCAUACAAAAGAUGCAAGAUAGAGCAAGAAACACCUCCAUCGAUCUAGAUCGAUGUAAAUCUUUAGUAAAUCCGCUAUUCUCACGAAAAGAAAUUUGCAGUGCCGGUCGACAUAUGGCCAAUUAUUUACAACCAUAAUCCAGCACAGAGCUAAACUCUGUCUCCAACAAUUACACCCAACUCGUUAAGUUUUUUAGGUGCAUUGCAGAGUCUUUUGGAAAAUCAAGCACCGCAAACAAUCAAAGGAUCUGCUACUGAGUAUAUAUUACUCCCUCCGUCCACUAAUUCAAGGCCUUCUUUUCUUUUUGGUCCGUCCACCAACUCAAAGCCUAUCUAUUUUUAGUAAAUUUUUAUUCAUAUUUUAAUUGGUGGGUCCCAAUAAACAAUACACUUUUUCUCCACUCAACUAAUAAAUAAUACAAUUUGUGGGUCUCUUUCUCCACUCAACCAAUAAACAAUACUCCCUCCAUCCCAAUAAUGAAGUCUCCUUUGUUUUGGGCACGGGUAUUUAGGAGAGGUAAAAUUGAUGUUAAAUGAGUAGGGACCACAUAAUUAGUGCUUUAAUUAGUGUUAUUUUAUUUCUUAAUUAAAUUGACUAAUCAAGUCUCUACGCCUCUCUCUCUGUACGUGAUUUCUGCGCCGUCGUUCGCCGGCUGUUUCAGCCGCCGGCGAGUCGCCGCCCUUAUUCCUUCUUAGGUCGGCAUCACUUCCCCCUUCCUCUUCACUGUCAUUCUCUCCAUUUCUCAAAAUCGAGCCCAAAUCUCUUCUCUCUCUUCUCGCCGUUCUCUCUUGCAAAACACACACACACAGAUAUCUGGCAGAACACACACACACAGAUCUCUCGCCGUUCUUCUCGCCGUUUCUCUUCUCUCUCUUCUCGCCGUUCUCUCUUGCAAAACUCACACACACAGAUCUUUGGCAGAACACACACAUACAUAAAUGCAUCCUCCACCACAAAAAUCAAAGAUACAUAAAAUUUUCAUCCCAAAAAUCAAAGAUGCAGAGUCCGGACGGACUGUAAGAGAGGCAGCAACGGUUCCGCCUGAAUCAGCAGAGAGCUAGGGCUCAUUCCGAAAGGGGGAAACUCGCCUGUGCAUUUCGGUGAGAGAGUAAGAGGUAGAGUGAGCGACGAUCUCGACGGUCUUUCUGAGAAGAGAGCAGACGACACGAGUCGGCCACUGCUCGCCGGAAAUCGAAAGCAGUAGCGAUGAUUUUGAUGAGAGCGUUAGGGCUCAUUUCGAAAGGGAAAACAAGGGCACGAUAUGAGAAAGGAAUUGGAAUUGAGAGAAAAGAGAGAGAGAAGAGCAGAUGUGGCGGGGAAGCAGCGCCGGUGACCGGCGUGACGGCGACCUCACCGGUCUUCCAGAUGCAGCGGCUUUCUCAAAGGGGAGAGAGGAAUUGAAGAGAGAGUGAGGAGAAUGAAGGCUGCGUGAAAGAAGAAGAGGAGAGAGAGAGAGUAAAUUGUUAAUUCAACUAAUUCUAUAUUAAUUUUUGCCAAAAAGGGAAAGGAAACUUGAAUAUUGGGACGGCCCAAAAAGGAAUAGGAGACUUGAAUAUUAGGACGGAGGGAGUAUAUUUUGUGGGUCUCUUUCUCCACUAAUCUAAUAAAAAUACACUUUUUCUUAAAAUUUGUGUUUUGCCUCUUAGAUCUUGAAUUAGAGGACGGAGGGAGUAUAAUUUUUAAUUAUAUUUUCUUCAAUUUUAAUUUAUUAUGCUUUAAUAUUAUAAAAAGAUAAUUACCAAGAAUUCACACAUCCAAUUAGGGUUUAUAAUUAUUUUUUAUAUUUAUUUGAAUUAACAAUUAAUUAUUUGGGUUCAUUAAUUCAAAGUUAGGGUAUAUAAUUUUUUAAAAUUUCAAUUUUGAUAAAUAUUAAUUAGAGUUCAUAAUAUAAUAAUAUUUUUUAUUUUUAUAAAAAAUAAUUCUAAAAUAAAUAAAUUAAGAGUGAUACACGGUGGUACACACAAAAUAGUGGGACAAAAGAUCCCAUCUGCCAGCACAUACGUCGGUCAAUAUUCAAUAAUGAGCUUUUCGAAAUGGAAAAACGUGUAUUAGAGUGUCUAGAAAAUCAAGUUGUGGAAUAGCUUGUAGUUUGGGUUGGAAAAUGAAUUUAAUGUAAUGGGGCUGUAAUAGCUAGUCACUACCCGAGUAGACUUCUAAGUCCAAGUCAAUUCAAUUAUUAAUAUACUCCACCUAAGUAUAAGAAUAUGGAGUAUGAAAGAAGAAGGAAUCAUAUCCUCACAAAUAAUAAAAAUGAUGGGUUUUGGGAUAAGUAGUCGCAUUUUGAUCAUGGCCAUAGUGUUGAUGAAAGCAGCAGAAGCAAGCAUGAGCAGAGAGAUGCAGGCAUUGAUGAAAUUUGGGUGGCCUCACAACUCCACAACUCAUCACUGCAAUUUGACUGGCAUUACUUGUGAUGAUGCUGCUCAUGUUGCGGCGAUGAGCCUCCAAGUUUGCUCUUAUCCUACUACUCUUCUUAGUUUAAACCAUUUUGAUGUGUUUGCUUUUCCACAUCUCACUAGAAUUCAUCUCACCUCAUGUUGCCUCAAUGGAACCAUCCCACCACAUAUAGGUUACCUCUCCAAACUAACUUAUCUCAAUUUGUCUCACAAUCCUCUAUAUGGUGAAUUGCCUGUGUCACUUGCAAAUCUCACUGAAUUGCAGAUACUUGACAUUUCUGAUAUUAUGGUCAUAUGUCUUAUGGCAUUUAUGGUGUCAUUCCGCCUGAGAUAGGAAGCUUAUCCAAACUAACUCAUCUCGAUUUGUCAUACAAUGAACUCAACAGUGAUCUGCCUCUCUCACUUGCAAAUCUCACUAACUUACAUGUGCUUGACCUUUCUUAUAACAGCAUUGUCGGUGUCAUUCCGCCUGAGAUAGGAAACUUAUCCAAACUAACUCAUCUCGAUUUGUCAUACAAUGGACUCAACAGUGAUCUGCCUUUCUCACUUUCAAAUCUCACUGAAUUGCAGAUACUUGACAUUUUCUCAUAGUCGUCAGUUUUAGACAUAAANGAUAGGUUACCUCUCCAAACUAUCUCAUCUCAAUUUGUCACACAAUCAACUGUACAGUGAAUUGCCUCUGUCACUUGCAAAUCUCACUAACUUACAGGUGCUUGACAUUUCUUAUAACGGUUACAAUUCUGGUGUCAUUCCGCCUGAGAUCGGAAGCUUAUCCAAACUAACUCAUCUCGAUUUGUCACACAAUGGACUCAACACUGAUCUGCCUCUCUCACUUGCAAAUCUCACUAACUUACAGCUGCUCGACCUUUCUCAUAAUAGAAUUGUCGGUGCCAUUCCGCCUGAGAUAGGAAGCUUAUCCAAACUAACUCAUCUCGAUUUGUCAGUCAAUAGACUCUACGGUGAUCUGCCUCUCUCACUUUCAAAUCUCACUAACUUACAGCUGCUUGACAUUUCUGAAAACAACAUUUCCAGUGCCAUUCCGUCGGGAAUAGGUUACCUCCAGCAAUUGAUUGUUCUUGAUUUGAGCCACAACAGCAUCAGUGGCUCUCUGCCCUCAACUAUGCGCCAAUUAACAAGAUUGGAAUUGUUGAAAUUGGACGGCAAUAUGUUGGUAGGUGUUUUUGAGGCAGGAAUACAAAUGCUUCCUUCAAUUAAAACAGUAGACCUCAGUAGGAAUACAAUCGAAGGAAGGAUACCUUUUGAGUUUGGAGAUGCUGCUAAUGCACCGUUCUUGAAUAUCGAUCUGUCUCAUAACCAUCUUUGUGGUAGAGUUCCCGAAUCUCUUUCGCAUUUGGAUGGAAUCGAUCUGUCCUACAAUCGUUUAGAAGGUCGAAUUCCACUAGACAUCUGGCGUAAAUUUCCAGAGGAAUCGUUCUUCGGAAAUUCAGAGUUACGUCAUUAUCCAAAUGAAGCCAAACAUCCUCGAAAUGCUGUUAUUGCUGUGGUGAUACUAUUUGGAUGUGUGUUUUUGUUUUCAUCAGGUUUGAUUCUAACCUUUUACUUAAGAAGGAAAGCAGCCUCUGCAGUCACACCUCAUGAUGACCAGAGACAUGGAGACAUAUUCAAGAUAUGGAACUUCGAUGGAAACAUCGCCCAUCAACACAUCAUCCAAGCAACAGCAGACUUCGAUUUCGGGUACUGCAUCGGAACUGGAGCUUACGGGAGCGUCUACAGAGCUCAACUGCCAACUGGAAAAGUCGUUGCUGUCAAAAAGCUUCACAGAUUCGAAGGAGAGAAUCCUAGUUACGACAUGUGUUUCAGGAAUGAGGCAAGGGUGCUCUCUGAGAUUCGCCAUCGCCAUAUUGUCAAGCUUUUCGGUUAUUGCCUGCACAAGCGGAGCAUGUUCCUCAUCUACGACUACAUGGAAAGAGGAAGCCUGUUUAGUGUGUUGAAGGACGAGAGCGAAGCCGUGGAGUUAGAUUGGAAGAAGAGGGUGAAUGUGGUGAAGGGCAUUGCAAAUGCACUAUCUUACAUGCAUCACGAUUGCACGCCGCCAAUUCUGCAUAGAGACAUUUCGAGCAGCAACAUCCUCUUGAAUUCACAGUUUGAAGGUUGUUUAUCUGAUUUCGGAACAGCUAGAUUGUUGGAUCCAGACUCAUCCAAUCGGACUCUACUAGUCGGAACUCGCGGCUAUAUCGCGCCAGGUAUCGAUAAACACAACUUGGAUGAAUUAAUACACAUUUUCCCCCCAUCAAUUUUCAUGAUAGAUAUGUUUGCUGCUUGCAGAACUAGCCUUUACCAUGGUGGUUACAGAGAAAUGUGAUGUGUACAGCUUCGGAGUUCUGGCACUGGAAAUCGUGUGUGGGGACCACCCAGGGGAUUUCGUAUCCUCCGUGACCACGAUGAAGGGAUCAUCCUCAUUCGCACAGUUUGCUCAAAACUUGAUGGUGCAACAACUCCUGGACAAGAGACUAGCAUCUCCAGAUGAAGAUGUAAGAGUGUCCCGGGAAAUCGUUGGAGUGGUGAAAAUAGCUCUCAAAUGCGUAAGUUCUGAUCCGAAAUCGCGGCCGUCUAUGAAGGAGGUGUCUCAGGAACUCGCUGCGAACCCGCCACGCUUGUCGAUGCCCUUUCGCUCCAUAUCAGUGCUGCAGCUGAUGCAUUCAGAUUGAGCUCACAACUGCUUUUUUUUAACUAAUAAGCUUAAAGAUAGAUGUUGAAGUGCUUAUGAUACAUACUAGUACUAGGUUUGUUAAGGGUGUCCUCAACUGAACUGGAUCAAAAUAUUGAAAACUUGUUCACACUGGAUGGUGCUGAAGGUGAUAUUGAUCAUUAUUAUGAGUAUCUAUCUUUGAGUUGGAUGUUUUUCUUGUAAUGGUAGUGGCAGGCAUCUUGUCUUUGUCUUCAACUUUUCUCCAUUGUUCUUGUUUACUUUUUGGGUUCUGGAUUUGAGUUUUGAAUGACUUCAAAGGACCUGGUUUUGAGCCACUUGAUGAUAUAUAGUAAUUCAUACUUAUAUGAAAUAAGAUCACAUUCUAGAAUUGUCAAAAUCCUUGUCUAUAUUCAAUAAUAUGACAAUGUAUACCUACCCGAGUUUCGUCUACGGCUCGAUGACGAUUUUCCCGGUGGCGUGGCCGUCGAUGCUCUUCGUCCAAGCGUUGCCGGCCUUGGUUCUCGAGUCGAUGACCAUCUUGAGCUUCCCUUGUCUCACUAAAUCAACAAGAUACCCUUUUACUCGCCUUGGGGAUGAGGAGCUAUAUUGAUGGUUGUGAUGAUGGCUCGCCAACAUAUGAAAUCAAAUUUCAAUGAACCUUAAAAUAUAAGAACUGUAUAGAGUUGAAAAAAAUAUAAAUACAUGAAUUUAAUCGUAACCUGCUAUCUUCUUCCCCUUCUUAGUCAUUGUCCCUACAAACAUUAAAAUAUAAUAAAUUUAUUGUAACACCAUACCCCACAUUUCAAACGAAUAUAAUAGGAAAUUCAUGGGGGGACCAUAUGCACAUACAAUAAUACUUGAAAGUACCAUCUAAUACUGUCAAAAAGUUAUACUUUUAAUAAUUUUCUACUCAAUAUAAACCUUGAUUUGUCGAUUUCAUAACCAUUUCAUAAAGUAUUGAGCGACCUUGCUCUGCCUAUUUCUUAAACUAUUCAGAAUAACUCAACAAACAAGAACAAACAGAAAUUAAAACCCUAACUAUCUACUCGGAUGAAUCGCAGAUAUAUUGUAUAUUAAUCGCCAUUGUGAUACCAAAAGAAGUUUCCGAUUUGACAGGAGUUUCGUAUGAAUUUUCGAAUAAACAGAUGAACUAAAUCAAACAAAUGAACCCUAACUACUUACUCGAUGAUCGCCGGUGAAAAUAGAAAAAUGUCGCUGCAAAUGGACUUCAAGCGCCGUCUGGUAUAGAUGAAGCGCCGCCUGGUAGAGAAGAAUCGCCUUCGCCUCUAGGGUUCUCAGUCAACGAUGGGUUGGUAGACGAAAGUGGGGGGAAGAUGGUAUAGUAAAUGUCCUAAUUUACUGGAGUUAAUUUAGGAAUUGACAGUUUUCUAAAUAGACAAAAGGUCUAAUAUACCCCCAACGUUUUUUUAUAUGAUUUUUUAAGUUAUUCAGUAAAUUACAAAUGUAGAUUAAUUAUUAAAUAGUUUUAAUCUGGACCAUUAAUUUAUUCAGAUCCUAUGGUUAGGAUUAAUUCCUUAUUCUUUAUACUAAGGGAAUUCUUUGUAGAUCCCCACGGUCCCACCCCCUAUAGAGAGAGAGAGAGAGAGAAUGGCAAAUUUUUGUGACACCUAAGAACUAAUCCUAUCCAUUGAUUGUGUGAAUCCAACGGCUGGCACAUGAUUACAUUUUCAGCCUAUAAAGUUGGCGAUAAAGGGCAGCAUUGUAUUUCCUCAAUUCUCAAAUCCGUUACUUUCCUUAUUUCAUGCAAGGUAAUAUCCAUAAUUAUGGUAUUUUAGAUUUUGGUCAAACAAACAUAUCAUCUAUUACCCACUAACUCACGUUUUUAGUGAAAUUGCAUAUCUUGGUGGUUUUAUCUUUUAGCCAUCAAGAAUCGAUUUGCCAAAAAUUUUGAAGCCAUUUUACAUUCUGUACCCCACGUCUCUUUUUUGGCAUAACAAUCAUCCGCAGAGCUUCGAUUCUUUUCUCCUCAAUUCCAACAAUGUCUGACGAAAGUUAGUAAUCGGUUGUUCAUGUGUUAAUUCCAUUGACAUUUGUUGCUUAAUUAUACGCCGAUCUCAGUUUUCAUUUAUAUUUUGUAAAUGGUUUUGUAUUCAGCACUUGAAUUGAGAUAGUUUGUUUAAAUAGAGACGAAGCUGAUAUGUUAUGUGUUUUAAAUUGAUGAUUUUUAGUAGUGUGAAUACAUAAUUUAUAUUUCUGUUCAGUUGAAUAGUCUUAUUCAAGUCAUAACCUUCAUUGUUUCAUGAGUUCAAUUCAUAGGUUAUGUUAUUUUUUAACCCAUUGUUAUUUUUGGUCUUUAUAAGUAUGAAGUUAUUUUGUUUUAUGUUAUGAAUUAGUGAUUACAAGUAGUUUUAAUACAUAAUUUAUAUAUAUGUUCAUUCGAAUGCGUGCAGUCAAGGCAUGAUUUCAAUUUUCUGAUGAAGGUUAGCUAAUCGAAUUUUUAUAGCGUUAAUUCCACCGUUUUCUUGUUAGUUUAAUUUUUAUCGUGUAUCUUAGUUUUUGUAUAUAUGUUUUAGUUUCAGUCGUAUUCAAUUUUACACUUGAAUUGAGAUUGUUUUGUUAAAUAGCUUCUAAGUUAUGACUUAGUGAUUAUAAGUAGUAUGUGUAUAUAAUUUAUUUAUUUUUUCUGUUCAGCUGUAUAUUUUUAUUGAAGUAUGAAUAUUCACUAUUUCAUGAGUUUGAUUGUUAUGUUAUGUUACUUUUAUCCCAUUGUUAUUUUUGAUUUAAUAAUUAUGAAGUAAAUAUUUUUUAUGUUAUGAACUAUUUAUGUUCAUUUGAAUAUGUUUAUUCAAGUUUGAAUAUUCAAUAAUUUAUGAGCUUGAUUGAUAUGUUAUUUUAUUCUUAAUCCAUUGUUAAUUUUUGUUACAUAUUUUAGAUAGUUGUUCCUCUGUAUUUUGUUAUUCAAUGUAGUACAUACUAAAGGUAGCGGAUGUGGUGGUCGGAGGAAGUCGACGAGGGAGAAAUUAGUUGAGCAAGCUUUGAAGCCCAAGAGAAGAUGCAAGAAGUGCAAUAAGUUGGUUAAUCACGACUCUAGGAACUGUCCAGGAAUUGACGCAGUAGAAGAAUGAACUACUAUGGGUUUUUUUUUGUUAUUUAGUUGUGGAAUCCAUCAUCCAAGUUUUAAUUUUCACAUCUAUUUAUCUCUCAUGAACAAUAUUUGGAAGUUUUAUUCAUUACCUUAGUUUGUUGUUUGAACUGUGUUGAACAUACCUUCUAUUCGUGACUGUAGUAAUUGAUGAACAAGAAAUUUUCAAUUAAUGAACAUGUUCUUUGUUCAUGUAUAUUUUCACAUGAAUAAACUCGAAUGCUGACAGGGCUUGUUCACAUGAAUUUUGUAACCUCAACGUAUGUUGUUCGCUCGAACAUAAAGUCACAUUCAUGCGUGUUGUUCAUUCAUGAUUAAAUUGUUCAUGUAUGUUGUUUGUGUGAAUAAAACAAAUGUAGAUUUAUAUAUUACAUUAGUUUGUGCUUUGAAAAAUUUUCACCUUACCUUUUAUCCAUGAUUGUAUUGAAUUAUGAAUAGACAUUUUCCAAUUAAUGAAUAUGUUUUUGGUUAUAAAUUCUGAACAUGGAACAUCAUUUAUAAAACAUUAAAAAAAGAGAAAAGGUGCAGAUUGGCCCCCGAAGUAGUAGCCCCUAUAGCGUAUAACCCCUCUUACUCAUUGUGUGUGCAACUAAACCCCUGAACUCCGAGAAAAUGGUGCAAAUUCCCCCCUCUAACCUAACGCCGUUAAGUGUCCGUUAACGUUUGGGUUUAAUUGCACCAUUUACUUCAGGGGUGGAUCAGCACCUUAUUUAUUUUUAUUUUUUUUAAUUUCAGCAACCCACCUUUGGCAUCAACUUAACCACCCCCGUAUGUUAGGUCUGGGGGGUCUCGAAUAGGUGUAUGGGGGGGGGAAUACACCUAUAGGCUAUUUUCACAACAAUCUACUGACCUCAAUCAGAGGGACCUCAGUCAGAGAUCAAAACGAAACUUUACAUGCAAACAAGGACUCCUGUUUUACUGAAAUCAGUUUUGACCAACAGGGUUGACGACUGAUACUGAAAGCUCUUCAGUAAUGAGUUAUUAGUUAAGUUGCUGGAACUUAACUGAUCCAAGUAAGGGCUUCAGUCGUGUUUGCUAAGAUAGAGAUGAUAUCACUCUUCCUUACUAUCAGAGGAUAGUUUAGUCAGAUUGAUAUCAUACGCAACGGAAAUUAAACUUCGUUUUGUAAUAGCCUCGGUGGAGCAGAUAGUUGGAUUAAGGUUUCUCUUUGCUGUUAGUCAGUGUUCAGUUUUAUCAAUAGAAAUAGCACAAGUAAGAAUGUAAAACUGAAAGCUGUAAAUAACACAGAGACUUUUACGUGGUUCGGAAAAACCCUUUCCUACAUCCACAACUGGUUGAUCAGACCAACGAUCCACUCCGCAAGUGCUUCACUGGUGCACUGCAAACCGUACCCGUGUGCUUGUCUGGUGCACACAAUCGUAAACUGAAGAAAACCCUUCUUCAACACCCACACACCUCGCGUAGGAUUUCCCUGCUAAGCACACCUCGUGCUCAAACUUUUCACUCAGAGUUCAGAGUACCUUCCUGAACUCCGAACCACUCAAACACUCUUAUGGGGGGAGGUUUGAACGAGUGCCAACUAUACUUACAAAGAACAAGUUCUUUGAAGCAAGUUUGACCUUUGGCUUCUGGGUAAACAGAUAUAUGCCUAGGGUCUAAGAGAAUGUAUGUAAUCAGCAGUGACUGAUUUUGGCUUUGGAAUUCUCUUCUUCGAUUCAAGCUUUGGGGCGGUUAAGCUUUAGGCUGAGUAGCAAUUUCGGCAGAGCUUCAGCUUAUGUCGUCGAAUCGGUGAAGGUUGAAGUGAUCCUCGAGCGCUAUUUGUAGGAGAACUCUUGAAUAGAUCCGUUGGCGUAAAUCGUCCUCAAGAUUUCUUCCGUUGGAGAGCAAUUCGAAUUUGGGCUGAGGCUUCAAUCUUCGAGGUUCCUUGUCUGUGUGGAAACGACUCUCUUUGAUGGACAGGAGAUGUGACAUCUCUGAAAAGUAACCACCAGAUAGGAAUGACCUCUGCAGAGAUAAGAUAUUCUGAGAUCUCUGCAUUUAAUGCGGCUGUACUUGUGCGUACGUGGCUUCCUCUGAACGUUGGAAGAUCAGUCCUAGGAGGAAUGUUCAACUGAUACUUGACUUUAGUAUCAGUCCUUUGCGCGCAUUAAAUAAUCAGUCUUCAACUGAUUCUUCAACUGAUACUUCAGUUGGUAUCUGCAGUCUUCAGUCUUCAGUCUUCGUUCUUCAGUCUUCAGUCUUCGACACCGCAACUAAACUAGAAACGAACUCUAACACUUGAGUUCAAAACGAUUCUAGUCUAUUACAUAUAAGUCCUAUGAAUUUUGGUAUCAUCAAAACAAGGGUUAGGAUAUUCCACAAGGUUCCCAACACAUACUCAUCGAUUCUAACUUGCACCUUGUUAGCUCUCACGCGCCCAAUCUCUUGGUUGUCGACUGCCCACCGCUUACAUGUAGCAACGGCCACCAGAUCUUCACCGCCCCCGCACAACAUCAUCUCCUCCAACACCUUAACCUUUUAGGCUUAUCUUAUGAUAUUAAUUGUGUAUAUAUUUAUCUAUAUAAUAUAUAUUUAAAUUUUAUUUAUUUAUUUUUGAAUAAUUAUUAAAAACUCUAGAUAAUAAUUAUGAUUUUAUUUUUGGUUAAUUUAAUAUUUAUAAAUUUAUUUUAAAAAAGAAAAAAGAAUGGAUCCGGGUCAGGACUCGAGACCCUGUGAAUCUAAUGGAUCNCCAUCCCACCACAGAUAGGUUACCUCUCCAAUCUAACUCAUCUCGAUAUGUCAGACAAUAGACUCUACGGUGAUCUGCCUCUCUCACUUUCAAAUCUCACUAGCUUACAUGUGCUUGACCUUUCUUUCAACAACAUUGUCGGUGCCAUUCCGCCUGAGAUAGGAAGCUUAUCCAAACUAACUCAUCUCGAUUUGUCACACAAUAUACUCAACAGUGAUCUGCCUCUCUCACUUGCAAAUCUCACUAACUUACAGCUGCUUGACCUUUCUCAAAACAGAAUUUUCGAUGGCAUUCCGUCGGGAAUAGGUUACCUCCAGCAAUUGAUUGUUCUUGAUUUGAGCGGCAACAGCAUCAGUGGCUCUCUGCCCUCAACUAUGAUCCAAUUAACAAGAUUGGAAUUCUUGAAAUUGGACUCCAAUAUGUUGGUAGGUGUUUUUGAGGCAGGAAUACAAAUGCUUCCUUCAAUUAAAACAAUAGGCCUCAGUGGGAAUUCAAUCAAAGGAAGGAUACCUUUUGAAUUUGGAGAUGCUGCUAAUGCACAGUUCUUGAAUAUCGAUCUGUCUUAUAACCAUCUUUGUGGUAGAGUUCCCGAAUCUCUUUCGCAUUUGGAUGGAAUCGAUCUGUCCUACAAUCGUUUAGAAGGUCGAAUUCCAC